rnacentral:rRNA from 1 species
UUAUAUAAAGUUAUCUCUGCUCUAUGAAAUUAAUUUAAAUGGCCGCAGUAAACUGACUGUGCUAAGGUAGCAUAAUAAAUUGGCCUUUAAUUGGGGUCUAGUAUAAACGGAAACAUAUAUGAUCGCUGUCUUUAUUAUAUUAAAUUAAAAUUACUUAUUAGGUGAAAAUACCUAUAAGCUUCAAGAAGGACGAGAAGACCCUUAGAAUUAUUUAAAAGAUUAUUGUUCUUAUACAUUAUUCUUUUUUGUUGGGGCGACAUAUUAUCAUUUAACAUAAUAUAUAUUUAUUAAUUACAAGACUAAUUUACUUAGUGAGACCUAAUUACCUGAGGGAUAACAGCAUUAUUUUAUAUUAAGCUUGUGACCUCGAUGUUGGACUAGGUAAAGUAACAACCAGCAGAUGUUAUUACUUGGUCUGUUCGAACAUAUA